UAUUUUGUUAAGUAAAAUCUAAUAAAAAAAAAAAAACCCUGAUCUAGCGACCUGCUUGUUUUUUGAAUCAUGUCAAAAAAUUAAGAGGGCCAUACGAUGUUUUCAUUACAUAUUACGUUUGGACGAUCCCAUCCGUACUCUACAAAAUUUUGACUUGUGUAAUCGUGUAAAGCCGUCUUUAAGGGAACAUCACACGAUCACAAUUUACUAAUCAUGUGCAUAAAUUAACUGUCACUUCACAACUUUAAAUGCCUAGCAAAAUCAUAAAUCAUCUGAUGAUCCUUUUAAUUUGUGUGAAGUAAAAGCCUUCACAAAGGAACA